GUGCCAGCAGCCGCGGUAAUACCGGCAGCUCAAGUGAUGUCCCAUAUUAUUGGGCCUAAAGCGUCCGUAGCUGGCCGACCAAGUCUCCCGGGAAAUCCACCCGCCCAACGGGUGGGCGUCCGGUAGAAACUGGCCGGCUUGGAACCGGAAGGCUCAGAGAGUACGUCCGGGGUAGGAGUGAAAUCCUGUAAUCCUGGACGGACCGCCGGUGGCGAAAGCACCUCGAGAAGACGGCUCCGACGGUGAGGGACGAAAGCCAGGGUCUCGAACCGGAUUAGAUACCCUGGUAGUCC
rnacentral:rRNA from 1 species